UUGGGGCGUGGGGGACCGUGGCUUGGAGCACGGGAGGGCUGCGAGCCUACUCAGGCUGCUUUUCUUCUACCAUCACCUUCUCCUUUCGCUGUGCACGGGCCACACGGUGGAACUGCAGCGGUGAAAAUGACUGAAGUCGGGGCGCUGUAACCUCCUGGCGACCCUGAGGAGCAGCAGCGGAAACACAAGUAAGAAUGGAGAGUGCUCUUCUCCCCAGAAGCUAACAAAGCGUCAAGUCUUUCUCUGUGAAAUGGCUGUAGAAUGUAAACUGAGGCUCCUGGCAUUUCCCUACUGGCUGAGUUCAAGAACCACCCACUCUGAGUUGUCUUCCUGGAUUUUCUCAGCCCAAAGUAAUCCUUCUUUUUCUGAGAGGCAAAGGAAAGGAGACUUCAUCAGGCAAAAUACUGAAGCAAUGGGAAUACAAACAAUAGGAAGUAGGAACUUGGGACUUUCGACUUGAUUUUGUUCCAGCACCUGUUGACCCAAAUACCAUUUCACUUGUCAUAUUGGAUUUUGUAUUGUAGAUGCUGAGCUUCGUCUGUGAACAAAACCUACCGAGUCUCUGACCUCAUGGAACUCGUGAGGUGGAAUCAGGGCCACACAGGAACAACUCACAGCAAACUACAGGGACAUUCAUGACAUGUCUGUGCCCAGGGAAGUCCACCAAGUCUCCAGGUCUGAGGCAUUUAUGAGACAAAACUCAAGACUCAAAUGAAACUUACUUAAAGCCAGGAUCCCUGAAGACUUCCUUAUGGAUUUUGUCUCUGGGAACACGGCUCAGCAGCAUGGACACAGAAACAGCAGUGGUGGCUGGUUGCAUUGAUCCAGAUUUGGAAGUUGUGUGGCAGUUAAAGCAGAAGGAUAAGGUACCUCUUCUUUUAUGGUGCUGGAGAAGACUCUU